UACGGAGGGUGCAAGCGUUAAUCGGAAUUACUGGGCGUAAAGCGCACGCAGGCGGUCUGUCAAGUCGGAUGUGAAAUCCCCGGGCUCAACCUGGGAACUGCAUUCGAAACUGGCAGGCUAGAGUCUUGUAGAGGGGGGUAGAAUUCCAGGUGUAGCGGUGAAAUGCGUAGAGAUCUGGAGGAAUACCGGUGGCGAAGGCGGCCCCCUGGACAAAGACUGACGCUCAGGUGCGAAAGCGUGGGGAGCGAACAGG
rnacentral:rRNA from 1 species